rnacentral:rRNA from 1 species
UCGCGAAACCUUUGCAAUACACGAAAGUGUGACAGGGCUAUCCCGAGUGCCAUCCGCUGAGGAAGGCUUUUACCCAGUCUAGAACGCUGGGGGAAUAAGGAGAGGGCAAGUCUGGUGUCAGCCGCCGCGGUAAUACCAGCUCUCCGAGUGGUGUGGAUGUUUAUUGGGCCUAAAGCAUCCGUAGCUGGCUAGGUAAGUCCCUUGUUAAAUCCACCGAAUUAAUCGUUGGAUCGCGGGGGAUACUGCUUGGCUAGAGGACGAGAAAGGCAGACGGUAUUCUCGGGGUAGGGGUGAAAUCCUAUAAUCCCGGGAAGACCACCAGUGGCGAACGCUGUCUGCUAGAACGCGCCCGACGGUGAGGGAUGAAAGCUGGGGGAGCGAACC